GCUCAUGUUUACUCCUCCUAAUUAGCAUCCGAAUAUCCGAUGUGACACGGACCAAAUUUUAGCUCCAAACACCCCCUCAAUCGCCAAGCGGGAAGCGGAUGCGCAAUCCUCCGGAGGUGCUGCCGCCCUGGCAUCGCUGGAAGAGAUCCCCUGAUUGCCGCAGGUUAUUCAAUCGUCCCUCGACGUCACGGCACAAAAACCUGAUUCCGCCCGCCACCUUCACUCUCCACAAGAAAAUCGAAUCGCUGCUGCUGGAGGCGCCUAAAUCAUCCACCGGCGACGACGCUGGGCUGUUCCAAUCGCAUCCCGGAGUUUAAUUAGCCCCGCCUCGAGGAAAUUCUUUGUGUUUGGGUGACCAGCCCAUCCCAAGGCUGCGGGAGACUGAUGCUCCUUGGUUGCAAAUGCUCCAACGCUGAGAUUUUACUCAAGGUUCAGGUUCAUCCAAUCGCAUCCCCGGAGUUUAAUUAGCCCCCCCUCGACAACCUGUGCCAUUGGUGUGUGCAUUCUUGGUGGAAAUUAUUUGUGUUUGGGUGACCCGCCCAUCCUAAUCCAAGCCAGUGGAGACACGCUAAGGAGCCGAAGAAAAUUCAGGACAGAUUAAAAUCUUUUAGGUUCCGCACCACACAAGGCGAAUGGACCUUUGAUAUUAGCGCGAUCACCGAGGCAGCUGAUGCACAGCCAGUUGCAGGAGCUGAUGCACAGCCACAAUCAUCAGCACCCCCUCAACGACCUGGUGGCCAAGAUUCAAAUCUUGCAAACAACAACAGCAAAUCACCAUCCGGAAGUGGGCAGCAGUUGCACACCGAAUCAAGCCAUGCCAAGGAUCUCCCUCAGAGCGAUGAUAAUGACGAUGAUGAUGCCUUCAUGGAACCCCCACCGAGGUAACCAGUUGCGAAGAAACAGUGCAUCAAUGCAACUUCCAAGGCACAAUAGAUUUAUCUUUUUUUGUUAGCCUGCCAAUAAUCCAGUCAAGUAUGCUCAUGCACUUACUGUUCAGUGUGCCCCAUCAACAUUCAACUCGUUUGUCGAACACCUAACCUUACUGCAGCGCAGGAGAAUCAUGGAUAUGGGUUUUGGUGGCCUCCUGAGUAUUUCAGCGGAGAGGUUAGAGAGCAGAGAACUAUUAAAGUUCAUGUUCUAUAGGCUAGACCUCAAAACUAUGGUAAUCAAUGUUACCAAAGACAAGACAAUCCAUGUCACCCCAUUUGCCGUCAAGCAAGUGCUUGACUUAGCGGACAGAGGUGAAAUUCUACAGUUGCAUACACACGCAAGCAUCCGAGGCAUUGUCUGCUUUCAAGACAUCAGUGGGUCUACAAGAAUCCUAGGACCUCCACAUUAGUCAUCUCCAGAAGAUAUUGAAGGAUGAUCAUGAGCUGGGACUGGCCUCAUUGAUAAUGAUAUGGCUAUAAGAUUUUUUCUUUAUCAUUGCUUGCAGCAAACUGUUUUUCCCAAGCACUGAUAAUAACAUCAGAUGCAAGGAUGUUUACCUUACCAGGGACCUAUCUCGCUUGUCGGGUUUUAACUGGUGCAAGGCAGUUGUGAAUGACCUACGAGAUGCUGCAGUCACUUGGCAGGUGGACAAAGCGAAUAAAUCACUAUCAAGAUGUUCAAUAUUACUGAUUAUACUGUAUUUGGACAACCUACAAUGCAAAGACCAGAUUGUGCAUACCAGGACUCCUCGUGCAAAGUACUUUGAUCAAAAUGUGAUAAAAAAAUUAAUUAGUGCCGAUAGGACCAAAAACCAACAAGGGAAGUCUACAUUUGGGCUGUUACUGCUUAGGAACAACAUCAAUAUAUACUUGCUACCAUGUGACUCAGCACCCAUCUACAAAUGUCCCAGCACCCAUUGAACCGUUGUCAACACAUUUCCCCAGCAUGCAAGCAGAAUUGCAUGAAUUAGUUGACCAGAUUGGUAGCAGAUCCAGGAAGAUGCAGGCAAUGGUGGCAUUGGCAAAUUUUGAUGCCAAAGCUAAGAAAGCAUUGAGCUAUAUGAACAUUGGGCAACAGAUGCUACGGGAUGCACAUGAGGCAGUCAUUCACUCUUUGAACAAUUUUGAAUGACAAGGUGCAUGGCAACAAUACUGAAGAACAUCAUGGUCAGCCCCACGUUUCUGAUAUAGGUGCUCACACAAACCAUGAGAUUCACUAGCGUGCACGUGUUGAAUUGCAACAAAACAGGACUCAAGAACAAGUUUUACCAACAUCCAACACAUUGCCCUAUGAAAAUGCUAACCUUCAAAACGAAAUGGAUGUCGAACUUUCACCCGUCUGCACUCAACUUCACGAAGAUGUGACGAUUGAUCAUGUUGUGCCUCCUAUUGCGGCCAAAGGAAACACUGCCACAGCCUCUCCAGAUACGCAAGCCAAGACGUCAACAUGAAUGAUGGCCACAGUGCACAGAAUGUCAGAUCUGAACAUGUAUUUGGUGCGACACUUAUUCAACAUAACCAAAUUGAAAAUGAUAUGUCUUCUGGUGGUAAAAACCAGGAGCUUAACCAGGGCGUUCCCGAAGGGUUCCAACAGAACAGGACCGAAGAACAAGAUUUACCACCUUCCGAAGCACUACACGAUAGUAUUGCUUAUCACAAAGACAAUGUUGACCUUGACAACAUAAUGGAAGACGACCUUUCACCCGUUUGUACUCAAGUUUCAAAUCCAUUGUUCAGUAACAACACUACUAUUUUAGCAUCAAUCGUGGCAUCUUUUAAACACAUAUUUGAUUCUUCAUAUCCAGGUUCACACAGAUGUGACGAUUGAUCACAUCGUACCUCAUGCUCUAGCUAAAGGAGACUCUGUCGCAGCUUCGCCAAAUGGCAGAAUCGAGAUCAUCGCAGAUGAUGCACUUAGCCCUAUUCUUUUACAGCAUUGCACACAAGAUGACAUCAUCCAUCGUCCAGCCAUUGCUCUGAGGCCACGGCGGCUUUCAAAACGACCACCCAGGUGUGUGUCCCCUUUUAAAGGCGAUCCAGAAAGAGCAAAAGCUCCACAGUUAACAGCACAUGCUGUGAGGAAAAAAGUUCCACAUUGACAUGAAGUGCAAAAGUGAUAUUUUCAUUCGCACCGGCUUGAGAGAAUUCACUGGAUCAGAUAUAUCAGUCUUUCCUUGAUGGCGAGAUGCUUUCCACCCAAUUCAUGUCAUACUUCGUUGCCUGCAUGAGCUAUGAUGAAUGCCACAUGGCUGAUGGUGGUGGGUACAGGGUCUUCCUAUCUUAAGAGCUUAGGAAUAUGUCAAUACGAAGAUGAAAAUUUCUCGCAGUGGGAAUCACAUCAGGCACGAGCUGUCUUACAACGAGAUAUUGGAGAUCUUGACCCAACCAAAGUGAAACUAUGGUUCUUGCCGGUUAUGGAGGAGGAGCACUAUAGCAUCUACUGCAUCAACUUCAUACACGAGCGUAUUGAUGUACUUGAUUCCAGUCCCAAAGAAUCGAAAGCUUCAUGUUUGGUUCGGGAAGAGAUCAUAAAAAUUGUAAACUUAAUAGCAAGAUAAUCUACUUUCAUUAAAAGAUUUAUUAGAUAAUCGAAAACAAAGGAUCUUAAGUACUCUUCGAAAUUUGGAAGAAUUGCGUAGAGGGACCCUUGAACAACUCAAAAAAGCUCGGAUUCGAUUAUAGAAAGUUGAAUAGCUGACCACAUAGAUUACCACCAAGUCCUAGGUGACCAAAUUAUUCGACGUCUUAAUCUCUUGUUCCAGUUGGUAACAAAAUUUGAAAUGAAGCAAUUUACUAUAUUCAAACGCCCUAUCAUUGACGUAUGUAUGCAUACGGACGACAAUGACUGUGGAUUCUUUGCCAUCAAAUUCAUGGAGCUAUGGAACGGUGACUCCUUCCAUGUUCCAAUCCUCACAGAAAACGUUCGGCAGUAUAGGUCUCAGCUCCCCUUCUACGGCCUCUAUCACAGAAUCAACGAGAUCAAGAAGCUCCCUGCUGGUCUAGAAGCACACAGGCGUCGCAUGUGAUCCUCGUGACUGUUGUUUAUUAGACGGAAUAAAUAAACAAGUUCACUAGCAAACACGUUUAUUUUGUCUUCAUUUUCGACAAAAUCCAGACAUUCUAUGUAGU